CUCACAAACUUCAAAACAUUCUUUGCCCAAGCACCUUCUGCUGUGUCCUACACUUAUUUCCUUCGAAAUUGGUGUUUUUCCCCCUUUUCCUUCAUGAAAGUAAUGAGGCUGGGACUUAAUGGCAAAUGCAAUGGGUAGAGGUUCUACUAUUGAGAGACCUGGGAUUCUUGAUUACUUGAAUGAAUUUCUGACUUUCUCAUGCUUGUUUGUGUGAUGCUUUUGCUUUGGCUCUUGCAUCGAGAAUUUUUAUUAUGAAAUGAACUAUGAUUUUGCACAUUAAAGAAGAGGGGAUUGGUAUGGUUCUCCAUUCUGGGUUCUCUAGAACCAUCCCACCGGAUUCUUUUCAGGUUCCAGCCCUGAUGUGGAACAGAUAUUCUGUCGUGCGGGGCUUUAGUGCAUAGGACAUAUAACCUUGAGCUGGACUGCAGCAAGCAUCAUGGUGAGAGCCUUAUCGAACCUACUCCUCAAGGGCAUUACAGGGUCCCCAGGAGGAUGCUCUAAUAGAAUGGUAUCUACACCGUUUAGUCUAAGAGGAAUGAGAUAAUUCACUACUUUACUAAAUGACCCAGACAUGCAUGAUGACGUCAAACCUUGAGUAAGUUUCAGUGUUCUGCCAUUUUCCUAAAGGAUUUUGUUGAACAGGUAGGUGCUCCAUGACAUGACAUGACAUGACACGGUUAUCUAGUUCUUUGUUAGGUUCUGUGAUCCUAAUGACUUUGCUCAUCUAUUCCCUUCAUUUGCUUAACUUCAUUAUUAUUAUGAUUUGGGAUGUCAAGGAAAAUCCUGUGUUGAUAUACAUGAAAGGGGUCCCUAAGUUUCCACAGCAUGGAUUCAGCUCUCUAGCUGCAAGAGUAUUGAAACUCAACAGUAAUUUUUCUUGCCUUUUAUAGCGUUUUCAACAUGUCUUUGGUGGACUUACCUAGCGCUGCUUUCAAUAUGAAAAAUUAUGGGGACGUAGUAUUGACAAAUUUGCCUGCUGAACAUAAUGUGUGAUUUUUGUUCUAUGUUUGUACUAGAACUUUGUGAAAUUGGGAUUUGUAGAGCUGGUUACGAUAUGAUUGGGGAGGAAAGUACAGGACUGGUUGGUUUUUAAUUGGCACGAGAAUUAUCAUGAGCUGAUCUUGACUUUGCUGGACAAUACUAUGGGAGGAAUAUAAUCACAUGCCAUAUGAAACUCCUUGAGAAGACCAUGAAUGUACAAUUUAAAGCAUGAUUAGUACUGGGAAUGUGAGAGUACUGAUGCUGAUCAUCCUUCUGCAUGUUUUAUCACUACAAACAUCAACAUUCAAAACUAAUAAAGAAAUGGUAACUGUAAAUAUUUAUGUUGAAACGUCUUUGUCCUGUAUAGUACCCACACAUCUUGUGCCUCAGCGGAAGCAUUCUCAAGGCAAGCCAGGCAGAUAGCUUUUGUCAAUUGCUUAGUUUCCCAAAAUUUCCAUUAUCGAAAGAGCUUUGGUGGGCAAGAAGCCAUAAAACUGAAAAUAUUUCCAUCCAAAUCAGCUAUAUUUAUUUUUCUUCUCCAAUGUCUAAGGAUGAUUAAUUUCUCUUUCUGUAUGACAGGCUGGUGCAUUAACUAUCCCAUCUUGUCAUAUGCCGAUUAUGAGGCUUUGUCAUAUACGGACAUAUAAUAUUAUCCACCUCUUUUGAUGUCUUACACAGUAAUCAUGUGCAUAGAAGAAAAUGUCGGUGAUUCUUCAUUCUGAUCUGUUUCUUCUUGCACAUUGCGACGCCUACAUGAUAUGUUAGUGUUUGGGAUUUGGUUGAUUGACCUGUUGAAGUCUUCUUUCCACCCUCGCAGAUGUUCCUUUAAGUGUUAGGAACCUUUUGGAAGAUGCAGAGCUGAAAAGUGCCAUAAUAUAUGUGGAGUGUUAUGAGAAUGCCCUUUCAAAGAAAAAUUCCUCACAAGUGCUAGAAAUAUUUUGAAAGAUGCAGAGCACAAAAGUUCUGUGGAAGCUUUCGGGAGAGUCUCACCUACCUUUUGACAGUGCCUGAUUUUGGCUGAUUUUUGUAUCACAUUUUACUUGUAUGCUGAAAAUGUUUCCGAUGCCUUUGAUAUAACAUAUUUAGCAAUGCCAAGAUGAUUAAGAGUUCAGAUACUACCUCAAAGCUAGAGCGUGCAAUAAAAGUUUCUUUCGAUUUUUUCCUUUCUUGUUAGGCAAUACUUUCAGCCUCUAGUUUCUGCCCAAAAUUCCAUCCAUCACAUCAAGGCGCUCUGGUAAUGGCAUGGACUUCUGCUUUUUCAGCUACAUUUUGAGAACAAUCGUAUGGCAUGUUGUCAUGGUUUUGUUUUUCGUAGAAUAGAGGAGCUUACACCAUGAAUCUAUGUUGGCUGAUUUAUGCUGAAAUUUUCUAUUGUGGUGAUGAGAAUAAUGCGUAGGAUUCUGUUUUCUUAGCCAUUCAAUCUUUUGCAGCAAUUGGCCUCCAGAAAUUAACAAGCUGGGGUUCAUUUGAAGUUCUGAUAUUAUUUUGAAUUUGCACCAGAGAGGAGAGUAAAAGGAAAACCUCAAGGAUAUUGCAGCUAAGCAGGAAAAGUAGGCUUAAGCAAUACAUGGCCGACUAGAGAGAAAACAGGAAUUUUGAGGUUUGCUUGGUUUUCAUUCAACCAUUUGCCUUUCUUCUUCUUUUGCUGCUUUGUGAUGAUCAUCGAGAGUAUAAUGGUGAACUUACUUACCUUGAAUAAUCAUAUACCAUGCCUGAUUCAUGCAUCAAAAUUAUGUAGCUUCUAUUGUGAUUUAUGUAUCAAAUGUUGCGUGGCCAAUGCUUGCAGAAGGUUAGGGUGGUCGUAUGGUGAUUUUGCUGCUCCUGCCGGUGCUUGUUUUGUUGAGUGUAAAAAGUUGAGGCAUUGUCUAUGGGCUUCUGUUUUCAUUUUUAGCUAAUUCUAUCGGCGAACAGGUGAAAAACAUGCACCUUGUAAGAUACCUAUGUUGAUGAGGUAUGUUAGCAGAGUUUUUUGUUCAUAGCGUAGAAUUAUACAAAUGGAACGACCACUAAAAAUAGAAGAAGAGAGAAUUGUGAUUUAGGUGGUGAACAGAACAAAGAGUAAUCCUAUUGAAUUUUCGGUGAAGGGGGAAGGAAGGUCCUCCAAGGCUUUCAUUAUGGUA